UACGUAGGCAGCAAGCGUUGUUCGGAAUUACUGGGCGUAAAGAGUGUGUAGGCGGUGCUCUAAGUCUGUCGUGAAAUCUCCCAGCUUAACUGGGAGGGUGCGGCGGAUACUAUUGUGCUAGAGGGUGGGAGAGGUAAGCGGAAUUCCUGGUGUAGCGGUGAAAUGCGUAGAUAUCAGGAGGAACACCUGCGGUGUAGACAGCUUACUGGACCACUUCUGACGCUGAGACACGAAAGCGUGGGUAGCAAACAGG
rnacentral:rRNA from 1 species